UGUUCUGGGUCUGUAUCAUGUUUUCCCCUCUCUCGGGGAGGCUGACUCCAGGGAGUGAGAUUAGAGAAGGCCUCUCUAGAGCCUGGCAGCGGCAGCUCUCACAUUCACUCACUCUCUCACAGAGAGUAUUUCAGGGCCGGGUCACUAUUUAGCAGGAAGGUGCCCUGGAAUUCCCGCAGGCGCAGUCUCUGCCGGUUUCACCCGAAACUCUCACACGCAGCUCUUUUCGUCUCCUCAGGAGAGGGCACUAUGGGAGCAGGCUGACCAGAGAGUGCACCCAGGCAAGCACCCCAUGCAGAGCCCCCUGAAGCGUCCAGGCCUUAGAGUAGUGCACUCAAGUGUCCAGAGGACAGGAUGGAUGCUGCAGUGAUGUGCCAGGAGAAGAAUGAAUUCGAGAAAUGAACUUCAAAGGCAAUUUAAGAGAAACAGUAGUGCCCAAAGGCUCUAGUCUGGAUUGGGUACCUAUUGUGCUAAACACUGCACAAACAUACAGGAAGACAUUCUCUCAAGAAUAAUUAAACAUAAACCACAACCUAAGCUUUCUCCUGAAAUGGCUGUUUCUAAGUGUUUUCACUACAUCUCCUACCUCAACUCCUGAGCUGAAAUGACGACCAAUGGUAUACAGCCACAAUGAAUCAAACUCACUGGAGUUACACCGGUGCAUGACCAUUGUAAGUGAAAGGAGAAUCAUGCCUGAUGAGACAUACCUGGCCUGUCUACCAGCAGGGGAACAAUGAGUCGGAAGUCCUGCCUCACCUUCCUUCAUUGAAUAGUCUUGCAUCUCCCUUUAGAGUUGUAGCAAUUGACCACAUAUUAAAUUCUCCUAAAAUGAGAGGUUUGGAGGGUAAGAAUGGUUUAUUAUUUUUGCUGUCCAUAGUUAAAUAGCUGCUGCACUUUACUCCCAGGUUACUGAAUUUUAAAGGUGUGGUCAGACUGUACCUGUCCCUCAAUUUUUAUGAACUUUACACUAACUUAUCAGAUAUUGCAGUACAAAUACACAUACCUAGGAUUCUUUAGCUGCAUGUAGUGAAAGCAACCAAAAGAUGUAUGAAGAUAGUAAGAAUAACAAAUAAUAAAUAGUCCAUUAUAUACUCAUUCAGCUCUUUUCUACUAUCAGAACUUCCAUAUAUCCAGUUUCUUUUGGAAUUUGAAUAAGAGAGAGACACAUACCAGAUGGGCCCUCAUUUAGAUUAUUUAAAUAAGCAUUCUGCUAUCAACCAAUUGUAUGCAUCUUAGGGACCUUUGCAGUUACAGCAGAAAGAGAACAGAACAAUGGUAGGGAUCCUAAAAAGGGAGUAAUAACAUGCAGAAGGGAUUAUCAUGUAUAGAGGGAAUCUACACCCAUUCACCUUCCUUUUUAGCAAGAGAACAUUUUCAGAAUACAGACAUUGUACUGCAGUUCACAGACUUCAUCAUUUUAUUAUAAACCAGGGAGAAAAAAUAAGUUGAAAUGCCUAAUCAGAGUGAACAUUAGAAAAGGCUUACUAAUUAAUAAAGGAUCCUUUUGUGACUCUAUCACAGUAAGGUUCACUUUCUGCAUGAUUAAUAUGUACUAACUCAAUAUGAGGUAAAGAUUAUAUGAAAUGUCUCAUGAGAAAUUUCUUUGAUAUUCCAUUAGUAUUUGUUGCAGCCAAUUUUGUAUCCAGUUCAAAGAUGACCUCGAUAUGUUUCAAUAUAUUUGUAUUUUGCCAUCUUGACUGUUUUUCCACAAAUACCAUAAGAGAUGCUUGAACUAUAGGUUGUUACAAGGAUUUGAAUGAUUAAAGUGCACACACUUUGUCACAUUUGUUUUUGUUUUCCACUGUACUAAAUGCUUUACAGGGAGGAAGAUGGUGAAUGAACAGUAAUAUCUACAGGUCUAGCCAUCAGCAACAAUAUCCUGAGCUGGGGAGACAGAAUGGAAAUGCAGACAUUUUUUGUAGAAAACAGCCUUAGAAACCAUUCUAUCCUGAUGUGGAAACGGCACCUAAUGAACACUCAUGAGCAAUACAAAAGCACUGUUAAUAUGCCCCAGCUUUCAAACCAGAAGCACACAUUGUCCCUGACUGUGCAGAUUAUUGCUGCUGGACAGUGAAUGAGCGGUGCAGUUGUGGGAGGAUAUGAUUUGCCAUUGCCAAGAACACAGGACCUGUGCCCACCAACAGUGAACCCAUGCCUUCUGUUGCAGAGUGGCCCCUCUAUAGGUUUUGGUUGGAGUGUGCUUUCUGCCAUGCACAUUUGGCACUAAAGGGGUUGUGUUUUUCUCUAUACUGGGGAAGUAAUAUUGACAGGAUCCAGUGUUUUCAAUUCUGGCAAUCUGAUUGCAAGUCUUGUCAUAGAAUCAUAGAAGCUUAGGGUUGGAAGAGACCUCAGGAGGUCAUCUAGUCCAACCCCCUGCUCAAAGCAGGACCAACCCCAACUAAAUCAUCCCAGCCAGGGCUUUUCAAGCCAGGCCUUAAAAACCUCUAAGGAUGGAGAUUCCACCACUAUCUGGUGUUUUCUGAAGGCUACAGCUCCUGGAAUCAUGGGAUUAUGUGAGCAUUUCAACCCAACCUAUAAUUUUUUUAGGGCCAUGUCUCAUGAUUUUUGAACACUUGGGACUGGCAAUGCUGCAUGGUACAAAAUUAGGAUUAAGUGAAAUUAAUAUGUGGAUACAUAUCUUGACAAUAUUAGAUACUGUAGUUGGUUUUCCAUGAGCAUAUAAACAGUGAGCAUAUAGCCAACUGAAUUUAAUCCUUCCUACAUUUUUCAAAUAUAAGGGCAGAAAUCUGGACAGAAUGCACAUACAUCCAGUGUAUAAGAAAUACAUAUCUAAUUCCAGGAUUCACAGAUACAAAUACAGAAACAACAAUGGAGUAGAUCUAAAGCUCGUUAAUACCCUAAUUUGUCCUUUUAUCAAAUUAUUUUUGAAAGGUAUGUCCCCAAUCCUGCAAGCAGAUUCUGCCCAGAUCUCAUUGCAGGAUUGUAUAACAGAACUUCAUCUGCUGACAUAAAUGUGGAGCAUCUAGUAUAGCUCCAUAAUAUGUCUGAUCCUAUUCCCGUUAGAGGUCAUGGGGAUUUUGUGAUUCACUUCAAUGGGAGCAGGAUUGGGUCCACAGUUUAUUAAUUAAGGAUCACAUUUUCAAAUGCUUUCAGUCUGGCCUCUAAUCCAGCAAAUAGUUGAAAAUGUCAGAAUGCUUACAGGUUGAAAGAAUUAUUCAGCACCUUUCAGGAUGGAUUGCAAAAUUGUACCUGCAAUUUAAGGGCCUGCAAUUAUUUGCGUUAUAAUCAUUCCUGUAUUACCACACAUGUUCACAGUCCUUUUCAAACUCAAAGAACUGUGAUACGCAGACAGGCAAAUAAAAAAUACGGGCAGAGAGUUCAAACAGAAUAUGGAGAGGGAACAAUGUCUGCGUAGAGAGCAAAAAGAUUGAUUUAAAAAAAAAAGUGAGAUUUAUAGAGAGACUAUGAGGAUAGAUCUUGGCAGAGAAGUGAGAGGCCGUCUUUUGGCAUCUACAUUUAAUUUUUAAAAAAUCAGGUUAAUGGUGUUAUCCUAUUUCUUCUUCUUCUAAAAUAGAAGUAUAAAUUACAGGGCAAAUACUUUGAAACUGAGACCAGCUGUAGUACAUUUGAAUGUACAGUUCCUGAGAGGGUUUUUAACACUAGUAGUAAUAAUUCUUUUUAAAAAUUUUUGAUAGGAUACCUAUCUUUCACCGACACAAUUUCAUUAAAUUGCAAUGAUAGCAAAUAAUAAUCUUACGAAAUCCUGUUUAUAAAUGAAUAUUAAAGUGUUUGUUUCUAUUUAUUAAGACUGAGAGAUUACUUUAGCAUAUUGCUGAACAACUGUUUAUCUUUGCUGACAGACUGGUUUACAUUACUAGGGUAUGUGCUGCAGUACACCAAAUAGCAUUAUCCAAUUGACUUUUAUUUUUAGGCCCCUGGGUAGCAGACACAAAUUGGCACACCAUUGCUACUCCAGUCAUGUCUGGUAUAAACCCAGUAGCAGCCCCACUGAGAGAGGAGGAAGAAGACUGGCAGUGGGAACAGCAUAGGGUGUCCUGUUUUUAUAGGGACAGUCCUGGUUUUGGGAACUUUUUCUUAUAUAGGUGCCUGUUACCCCCCAUCCCCUGUCCCGUUUUUUCACAGUUGCUAUGUGGUCACCCUAGAACAGCAGCACUGCAAAACGUAAGUGUUAAAACUUUUAACUCCAGUGAUUCAGAUACCAAACAUUGCCACACAUGUAUGUUGCUGCCUAGCUGCCAUUGCUCCCCCAGUAAGGGUCCCUAAUAAUAAAAAAAUCAUAGAGUUAUUAAUAAUGUGCAAAUAAGCAAAAUAUCAUCAAUGGCAGUCACUUCCCAUUUGCUCUAGAGAAAGCCCUAAUUCCCCAAAUGUGUGUAUUACUCAAUGCUAAUAUUGGAAAGAAGCAAAUAUUUUUCAAAGAAGCAAGCAUAUUUUGAAGAAUAUAUACUGAGGACCUGGUCCUGACCCCAUUGAGGUGAACAGCUAUAUUAUUAUUAACUUAAUAGUAGCAGGAGCAGUUCCUAAUUAUGUAAAAAAUGUAUUUUUGCUAUGGACCAAAACAACUCUCAAUUAC